GCUUCCGUGGCACAAUGGGCUAGCGCGUUCGGCUGUUGACCGAAAGGUUGGAGGUACAAACCCUCCCGGGGGCG